GGUUCGAUCAUGGCUCAGAUUGAACGCUGGCGGGAUGUUUACACAUGCAAGUCGAACGGCAGCACGGACUUCGGUCUGGUGGCGAGUGGCGAACGGGUGAGCAAUGUAUCGGAACGUGCCUAGUAGCGGGGGAUAGAACUACGCUGAAGCAAAGUAUUAAUACUGCAUACGAAUUCUUCCGGGGGAAAGCGGGGGACCUUCGGGCCUCGCACUAUUAGAGCGGCCGAUAUCGGAUUAGCUAGUUGGUGGGGUAACGGCUCACCAAGGCGACGAUCCGUAGCUGGUUUGAGAGGACGACCAGCCACACUGGGACUGAGACACGGCCCAGACUCCUACGGGAGGCAGCAGUGGGGAAUUUUGGACAAUGGGGGAAACCCCGAUCCAGCCAUCCUGGCGUGUGCGAUGAAGGCCUUCGGGUUGUAAAGCACUUUUGGCAGGAAAGAAAUGGCACGGGAUAAUACCCCGUGCAACUGACUUGCACCUGCAUUGGGCACUGGCUAACUACAGCCAGCAUGCGGUAAUACGUAGGUGCAAGCGUUAAUCGGAAUUACUGGGCGUAAAGCGUGCAGGCGGUUCGGAAAGAAAGAUGAAAUCCCAGAGCUUAACUUUGGAACUGUAUUUUUAACUACCGAGCAGAGCGGUCAGAGGGAGGUGGAAUUCCGCGUAGCAGUGAAAUGCGUAGAUAUGCGAGGAACACCGAUGGCGAAGGCAGCUCUCCUGGGGGAUAACACUGACGCUCAUGCACGAAAGCGUGGGGAGCAAACAGGAUUAGGAUACCCAUAGUCCACGCCCUAAACGAUGUCAACUAGCUGUUGGGGCCUUCGGGCCUUGGUAGCGCAGCUAACGCGUGAAGUUGACCGCCUGGGGAGUACGGUCGCAAGAUUAAAACCUCAGCGGAAUUGACGGGGACCCGCACAAGCAGAUGAUGUGGAUUAAUUCCGAUGCAACGCGAAAAACCUUACCUACCCUUGACAUGUCUGAAUCCUGAAGAGAUUUGGGAGUGCUCGCAAGAGAACCGGAACACAGGUGCUGCAUGGCUGUCGUCAGCUCAAAAUGUGAGAUGUUGGGUUAAGUCCUGCAACGAGCGCAACCCUGUCAUUAGUUGCUACGAAAGGGCAUCCCCAUCGAGACUGCCGGCACAAACCGGAGGAAGGGGAUGACGUCAAGUCCUCAUGGCCCUUAUGGGCAGGGGUCACACGUCAUACAAUGGUCGGGACAGGAGGGCCUCAACCCGCGAGGGGGAGCCAAUCCCAGAAACCCGAUCGUAGUCCGGAUCGCAGUCUGCAACUCGACUGCGUGAAGUCGGAAUCGCUAGUAAUCGCGGAUCAGCAUGUCGCGGUGAAUACGUUCCCGGGUCUUGUACACACUGCCCGUCACACCAUGGGAGUGGGUUUCACCAGAAGUAGUUAGCCUAACCGUAAGGAGGGCGAUUACCACGGUAGGAUUCAUGACUGGGGCAGUCGUAACAAGGUAA
rnacentral:rRNA from 1 species